ensembl:lncRNA
CUGGGCCAGGCUCUAGAACCGGCGCCGCACGGGAGUCAUUGCGUGCAGACUUCUGUGUCCGUGUCGUCGCUCUCCCCUCCCAAAAGCGCUGCCGCGAGGACCGGCGCCGCCGGCGAUUUCCCCGCCUUUGUGUCGCGGGGCUGCCCGCUGCGCGUUACUUGGUGUGAUACGCAAGCUCGGCGGUGAUCCCGAGCCCCACGCGAACCUCCCUGCGUCCCUGCUAGUGCCUGGCGCCGUCACUGACGCUGAGGCGUGAACACGGAGCCGGCUCGGAGGGGCUGUUCUCCCGGACGCCAAGGCCACCCAGCGCGGCCGCAGGGCCGGGCAGAGGGGACCUGUAGGGAGCCGCGGGCCGCAUCCCUCCCGGAGGUCUGCGAGCUUCUUGAGGCCUCCCGCCCUCUUUUGAGCCCCGCCGCUGCCUUGUGGCGCGUCUCCUCCAUCCCUGCGGGUGACCAUCGACCGCGUUCCCCAGGCCUUGCUCACUUCUUGGUUACGGGCCGGGGGUGCUCCUGCCCGACCCUCGGCAUUGCCCAAGGGAGUCUGCACUUAACCUCUGUGCUCUGCCAGGCCUCUGUGGAGAAGAGCCGUCCACCUGCCUGACUGGGCCCAGCUUUGGGGAAGACCUUCUUGGUUUUGUCUGCUGGCUGGACUGACCCUGGCCCUCAGCCCAGGCCCUCAGAUUGGAUGGUGCUCACCCACACUGGUGAGGGUGGGUCUGCUUUACUCAGUCUACUAGACUAAUUCAAGUGCCAACUUCCAGAAAUGCCCUCACAGAUGCACCCAGAAAUCACAUUUACCAGCUAUCUGGGCAUCCCCUUGCCCAGUCAAGUUGACAUAAAAUUAGCCAUCGACCAUGUGACAACUGAGGCAGAGCUCGAAGUGCUGCAGCUUCAAGCCAAGGAAAGCAGGACUGCGGGCCCACACCAGAAGCUGGGAGAGCAGCGAGGGAGGGUCCUCCGCUCAGCCUUCAGAGAGAGCGCAGCCCUGUGGCACCUUGCCGUCCAGCCUCCGAAGCUGUGUGAAUACAUGUCUGCCAUUUGUAGCACCCAAUUUGUGGUCCUUUGUUAUGGCAGUGGAACCCCAGCGCAGCCCCGACCACAGUUCUCUGGGCUUGUGGGAGGGAGGGGGGCAGACAAGCAACUGGACCCCACAGUUGGGUUUUGCUUGGUGAUGAGGUUCCCACAUUCCAAAGAGAUCCAACCAAGGGCUCAGGCUGCCACCCCUGGGCUUUCAAGGAAGUGACAAGCUACACAGCUUGGCCCAGCGCGGUGGCUCACGCCUGUAAUCCCAGCACUUUGGGAGGCCGAGGCGGGCAGAUCACGAUGUCAGGAGUUCGAGACCAGCCUGACCAACAUGGUAAAACCCUGUCUCUACUAAAAAUACAAAAAUUAGCCAGGCAUGGUGGCAGGCAACUGUAGUCCCAGCUACUCGGGAGGCUGAGGCAGGAGAAUGGCAUGAACCCAGGGAGGCAGAGCUUGCGGUGAGCCAAGAUCACGCCACUGCACUCUAGCUUGGGUGACAGAGCAAGACUGCAUCUCAAAAAAAAAAAAAAAAAAAAAAAA